ACCUGGCUGGCUCAGUCUAUGGAGCAUGAGGCUCUUAAUCUCGGAGUUGUGAGUUCAAUCCCCGUGUUGGGUG
rnacentral:tRNA from 1 species